rnacentral:rRNA from 1 species
CCUACGGUAGGCAGCAGUGAGGAAUAUUGGUCAAUGGGCGAGAGCCUGAACCAGCCAAGUCGCGUGAGGGACGACGGUCCUAUGGAUUGUAAACCUCUUUUGUCGGGGAACAAAGGCGCCCACGGGUGGGCGGAUGAGUGUACCCGAAGAAAAAGCAUCGGCUAACUCCGUGCCAGCAGCCGCGGUAAUACGGAGGAUGCAAGCGUUAUCCGGAUUUAUUGGGAUUAAAGGGUGCGUAGGCGGACAGUCAAGUCAGCGGUAAAAAUGCGGUGCUCAACGCCGUACAGCCGUUGAAACUGGCAGUCUUGAGUGGGCGAGAAGUAGGCGGAAUGCGUGGUGUAGCGGUGAAAUGCUUAGAUAUGACGAAGAACCCCGAUUGCGAAGGCAGCUUGCUGCAGCGGAACUGACGCUGAUGCUCGAAAGCGCGGGUAUCGAACAGGAUUAGAUACCCGUGUAGUC